rnacentral:pre_miRNA from 1 species
AAGAUGCUAUACAAAUGUGGAGUGUAAUAUGUAAAAGCUCACAUUUCUGUAGCACUUUAU